rnacentral:rRNA from 1 species
AGAGUUUGAUCAUGGCUCAGAACGAACGCUGGCGGCGUGCUUAACACAUGCAAGUCGCGUGCGCAGUCCGUAGCAAUACGGAUGGGCGCACGGCGCACGGGUGCGUAACACGUGGGCAAUCUGCCCUCUGAUGGGGAAUAACCCGCCGAAAGGCGGGCUAAUUCCGCAUAAGAUUCCCGGGGCUUCGGUCCUGGGAUUGAAAGCAGUAAUGCGUCGGAGGAGGAGCCCGCGCCCGAUUAGCUAGUUGGUGAGGUAAUGGCUCACCAAGGCAAUGAUCGGUAGCUGGUCUGAGAGGAUGAUCAGCCACACUGGAACUGAGACACGGUCCAGACUCCUACGGGAGGCAGCAGUGGGGAAUCUUGCACAAUGGGCGAAAGCCUGAUGCAGCGACGCCGCGUGGGGGAUGAAGCAUUUCGGUGUGUAAACCCCUUUCGACUGGGAAGAAUACCUCGCAAGAGGGGUGACGGUACCAGUAGAAGAAGCCCCGGCUAACUACGUGCCAGCAGCCGCGGUAAGACGUAGGGGGCCAGCGUUGUUCGGAAUUACUGGGUGUAAAGGGUUCGUAGGCGGUGCGGCAAGUUGGGAGUGAAAUCUCUGGGCUUAACCCAGAGGCUGCUUCCAAAACUGCUGUGCUCGAGUGUGAAAGAGGCUCGUGGAAUUGCAGGUGUAGCGGUGAAAUGCGUAGAUAUCUGCAGGAACACCCGUGGCGAAAGCGGCGAGCUGGAUCACUACUGACGCUGAGGAACGAAAGCUAGGGGAGCAAACAGGAUUAGAUACCCUAGUAGUCC